GCGUGGGUGAAGAAGGCCUUCGGGUUGUAAAGCCCUUUUGUUGGGAAAGAAAUCCAGCUGGCUAAUACCCGGUUGGGAUGACGGUACCCAAAGAAUAAGCACCGGCUAACUUCGUGCCAGCAGCCGCGGUAAUACGAAGGGUGCAAGCGUUACUCGGAAUUACUGGGCGUAAAGCGUGCGUAGGUGGUCGUUUAAGUCCGUUGUGAAAGCCCUGGGCUCAACCUGGGAACUGCAGUGGAUACUGGGCGACUAGAGUGUGGUAGAGGGUAGCGGAAUUCCUGGUGUAGCAGUGAAAUGCGUAGAGAUCAGGAGGAACAUCCAUGGCGAAGGCAGCUACCUGGACCAACACUGA
rnacentral:rRNA from 1 species